UAAGCGGAGGAAAAGAAACUAACGAGGAUUCCCCUAGUAACUGCGAGUGAAGCGGGAAAAGCUCAAAUUUAAAAUCUGGUGGUCUUUGGCCAUCCGAGUUGUAAUUUAGAGAAGCGUCUUCCGCGCUGGACCGUGCACAAGUCUCCUGGAAUGGAGCGUCAUAGAGGGUGAGAAUCCCGUCUUUGGCACGGACCCCAGGGCUUCUGUGAUGCGCUCUCGAAGAGUCGAGUUGUUUGGGAAUGCAGCUCAAAAUGGGUGGUGAACUCCAUCUAAAGCUAAAUAUUGGCGAGAGACCGAUAGCGAACAAGUACCGUGAGGGAAAGAUGAAAAGCACUUUGGAAAGAGAGUGAAACAGUACGUGAAAUUGUUGAAAGGGAAACGCUUGAAGUCAGUCGCGUCGACCGAGACUCAACCUCGCCUCGGCUUGGUGUACUUCUCGGCCGACGGGUCAGCAUCAAUCUCGAUCCUCGGAUAAUGGCGAGGGAAAGGUGGCACCCUUGCGGGUGUGUUAUAGUCCCCUGUCGCAUGCGAGGGUCAGGAUUGAGGAACUCAGCGCGCGCCUCUCGGUGUCGGAGCGUUUCACGCUCACGNUACGCGCUAGGAUGCUGGCGANAAUGNCUUUAA
rnacentral:rRNA from 1 species